GGUUCUUGAGGGCAGGAGUUGGGUCUUAGGACUGAUAGCCCCUAGUGGCUAACCCCGGGUCUAGCAGCCCAUGGCAGUGUCUGGUAAACACUGGUGGAGUCCUGGGUGGAAGAAGGUCUGGUCCUCA
ensembl:miRNA